CAAUAAAGAGAUAUUUAUGAGGCACGACACGUGCCUCUGGCCAUCUUCGCAUUGAUGCGUUCGUGUGCGUGUGUUCUGGUCCCGGUGUUUGCGUGAGCGCCGGCGAGAUAUCGAGUGCUAUAGCUAGUUCGUAUACGUUGAGCCGAGUUGCGCGUACACGACUAGUCGAGCUGCAGGGUGAUCGUGUGCUCGAUCCUGAGGGAAAAAAGCCAACAAUUGGUAUCAGAGCAAGGUGUGGAAGCUUCGCCGUCAAGUUGUGUCACGGUGGAGUUGUUGUCACCGUCAAGUUGUGUCACGGACGACGGAAAAUCGAAGAAGAGAAUCAUGUCGACUUCGAAGGCGAGUGGUGGUGGUGUGACCAUCUAGUAC
rnacentral:lncRNA from 1 species